rnacentral:rRNA from 1 species
CAAUACUUAGUGGCAGACGGGUGAGUAACAUGUGGGUAUCUGCCCUUUGGCCUGGAAUAACACGAGGAAACUUGUGCUAAUACCGGAUAAGUCUUUACGGAGAAAGCUUUAUGCACCAUUGGAUGAGCCCGCACUUGAUUAGUUUGUUGGUAGGGUAAUGGCCUACCAAGACUGUGAUCAAUAGCUGAUUUGAGAGGAUGAUCAGCCACAUUGGGACUGAGACACGGCCCAAACUCCUACGGGAGGCAGCAGUGGGGAAUCUUGCACAAUGGAGGAAACUCUGAUGCAGCGAUGCCGCGUGAGUGAAGAAGGCCCUUGGGUUGUAAAGCUCUUUCGUCGGGGAAGAAAAUGACUGUACCCGAAUAAGAAGGUCCGGCUAACUUCGUGCCAGCAGCCGCGGUAAUACGAAGGGACCUAGCGUAGUUCGGAAUUACUGGGCUUAAAGAGUUCGUAGGUGGUUGAAAAAGUUGGUGGUGAAAUCCCAGAGCUUAACUCUGGAACUGCCAUCAAAACUUUUCAGCUAGAGUUUGAUAGAGGAAAGCAGAAUUUCUAGUGUAGAGGUGAAAUUCGUAGAUAUUAGAAAGAAUACCAAUUGCGAAGGCAGCUUUCUGGAUCAUUACUGACACUGAGGAACGAAAGCAUGGGUAGCGAAGAGGACUAGAUACCCUCGUAGUCCAUGCCGUAAACGAUGUGUGUUAGACGUUGGAAAUUUAUUUUCAGUGUCGCAGCGAAAGCGAUAAACACACCGCCUGGGGAGUACGACCGCAAGGUUAAACUCAAAUGAAUUGACGGGGACCCGCACAAGUAGU